rnacentral:rRNA from 1 species
UCUUUAAUGGAGAGUUUGAUCCUGGCUCAGGACGAACGCUGGCGGCGUGCCUAAUACAUGCAAGUCGAGCGGGGUUGAUUAGAAGCUUGCUUCUAAUCAACCUAGCGGCGGACGGGUGAGUAACACGUAGGCAACCUGCCCACAAGACAGGGAUAACUACCGGAAACGGUAGCUAAUACCCGAUACAUCCUUUUCCUGCAUGGGAGAAGGAGGAAAGGCGGAGCAAUCUGUCACUUGUGGAUGGGCCUGCGGCGCAUUAGCUAGUUGGUGGGGUUAAAGGCCUACCAAGGACGAUGCGUAGCCGACCUGA